CUAUACCUAAUUAAAUAUCAGUCACAAAGUUUAAAAUAUAUUUUACCAAAAGAAAAAUAAAGUUUAGAAUUUUAAAUAUAAGUCUUAUUUGUUCUCAAAAUAAUUCUUUAAUUACGAAAUUUUCAUAAAUAUUAUAUAUAUUAAAAACAAAUUAGAAUAGGAAAUCAAUGGAAAAAAUAGGAAAUCAAAUACAUAAGAUCUGAUUGGUCAACAUAGCAGCCUAUUAGAUACAAGGGCUCGGAUCAUGCUAUGUUUAACCACAACCAUCGAUAAAAGUGAAUCUAACAGACCAAAAUGCACUAAGAUGCAGAUUUAAAACAAGAAGGGGAUAGGAAACAGAUGGGGGGGGAGAGGAGGCAGAAGAAGCUUGACAGCAGAGGAGAUAUAAGAAGCCUGAUGGCGGAGGAGGCAUAAGAAGCCUGACAGCAGAGGAGAUAGAAGUGUAAGAUCAUUUGGUGGGGUCACAUAUGAUAAGGAAUAAAUAUGAUAGGGUCAUUAAUCAAUUAGCCUAUUUAAGUGGUCACUAUUGUGAAUAAAGUAAUGAUUUGGGCAUAAUUGUUAUGAAAUAUUUAUAUGUGGAUACCUUAAGUAAUUUCUAGUUUAAUGAAGGGCUAA